UUUAUCUGCCCUCUGCUUCCCAUUUUAUCCCCAAUGCAAGUAAAUAAUUACUUUACUUUCCUUUCUUCAUUCCUUCAGUCCGAGAAACCCAUAGGUUUUUAGUUUCUGCACUCGGCUUUUCUAUUUUUCUUCAUUCUCCAGAAAACCCACACACAAUCUCAUUAAAGAAAAAAAAAAUCCAUGCUCCAUCUUACUGUAUCUCUUGCCUCUUCUCUUGCAAACAUAUGAAAGACUAAGGAAAAAUUGCGUUUGAGGUGAGCGGUAGUUUUGCAGAGGAGCUUCACUUGGAAAGUUUGCAGCAUCAAAUAGAAAGUGAUCUUAUGCCAAGUGCCUGAUGUGACCAAAGUGAUUCUUAUGUUGUGGGUUUUUCUUUUUUUUUUUUUUUUUUCUUUUUUUGUCUAGAAGUAAUAAUCGCUGCCCCCACACCCUUUCUGUGAAAUUCAUGUAACAAUUGGUGUAUUACUAGAGUGGAUAUCAUGAUGGUCUCAUAGCAAGAGAAGAAGCUGUAGCACAAGAGGGAUUUAAUAUUGGCUUUAAGGAAUCAGUCCUUGUUGGGUACAAAUGGGGUCUAGUUAGAGGUGAUACCAGGGUAAUUUGCAAGUUGCAAAUUUAUAUGCUGGUACCGACAGUGUAGAGCUCAAAGGGCUGAAAUAAUUGUUGAAUUGAAUUAUUUCUUAAGGCAUUAUAUCUGCAAGUUGCAAGUGUAUAUUCUUUUCUCAAAGAAGCCAUUCCUGGUGUUUUUAGAAUCCUCUGGCUACUCUCAAGAAGAUGUGCUCCUUCAGAAGCCCAAAGCUGGGCUCAACACUCCAUUCUGGCUUAAGGCUCUCAAUAAAUAUCCUGACUACAAAGUUAAGGCUUCUAGGAUCAGUUAGUGUACAAAGGACACCAAAUAUUCUUGUACAAAAGAGAACAAAUAUUUGCUACAGAUUUGUGGGGUGCAUUCCAGGGCCAGGGAUAUGGAGAAUUUAAUGACAUUAGAUCCAUUACUAUUAUGGUCGAUUAUAUUGUUCCAGUGGUUCUUCAGCAACUUGGCGUGCUGAAAUACAGUUCAAAGCUUGCCAAACUGAUUGUGGCUAAUAAUGAAAUAGAUUCAGGCAGUGAGAAGGAAGUUAAGCCAUGGACUUGCUCCAUAUAUGCUGUGGAGAGGAUGAAGGAGUUGGUCAGUAAAAAAUUAAGGAAGCAGGUGUUGUUGAAUUCCUUUGACAUUUCUAGCAAUUUAGUACUUGUAUAUUUCCUUUUGGUAUUUCAAUGAUUUUCACUCUUUUUGUUUAGAUCAAUCUGUGUCCUUCUAUU